rnacentral:rRNA from 1 species
GAUGAACGCUGGCGGCGUGCCUAAUACAUGCAAGUCGAGCGAACAGAUGAGGAGCUUGCUCCUCUGACGUUAGCGGCUGACGGGUGAGUAACACGUGGAUAACCUACCUAUAAGACUGGGAUAACUUCGGGAAACCGGAGCUAAUACCGGAUAAUAUAUUGAACCGCAUGGUUCAAUAGUGAAAGACGGUUUUGCUGUCACUUAUAGAUGGAUCCGCGCCGCAUUAGCUAGUUGGUAAGGUAACGGCUUACCAAGGCGACGAUGCGUAGCCGACCUGAGAGGGUGAUCGGCCACACUGGAACUGAGACACGGUCCAGACUCCUACGGGAGGCAGCAGUAGGGAAUAUUCCGCAAUGGGCGAAAGCCUGACGGAGCAACGCCGCGUGAGUGAUGAAGGUCUUCGGAUCGUAAAACUCUGUUAUUAGGGAAGAACAAAUGUGUAAGUAACUAUGCACGUCUUGACGGUACCUAAUCAGAAAGCCACGGCUAACUACGUG